GUCCUAUUUCUGAGCUCCUGAUAUAAUGAGUAUCAAAUUCUGCUUAUUUCUGUCAGAGUGACUGAAAUUUUUCUAGAAAAAACAUUAAUUAAAAUGGAGAUAAAUUGGACUGCUUAACCUUUCUCCAUUCCUUCUCACCUGACCCUUGCUAGCUCACACUUGCAGGUCAUUAGGUUCAAUUAAGUAAGUUAAAAAGCCAUGAGCAGGCAUUUCCUAGGCUAGAACCUGUUUAGUUAGAUAGCUGUAAAGUAACAGAGUAACAUUAGUGUUUGUCUAAAGCUGGAGCGGAUGAGAACGACACAAAAGUUGAAACAUUUUCUGGUGGAGUCUCACUGACAGCCGUAAGACAGGCAUCUAUCAGAGCUUGUACAGAGCUUUCUUCCUGAAACAGUAGAAAGGCGUAACCUUGGAAAGGAUGCUGCCUAUAUGGGAUCACAGUAAAUCAAGCACAUUUGACCUACCGAGCUUAACACGACUGUGGAAAAUACGACUUGCUUUCAGCUUUGUGAGGCCAGUCCACCACAAGAGGUCCAAACCUACGAAAGCUGGCAGUGAUCUCAUCUACAAAAAACAAAUGAGGCACCUCAGAAUGUGAAGACUGACGUGGCAAGUACCUUCAUCAAUGUCAGGAGGAAGACCUCCAACAAACACCUUUCUAGAAUAGCGUUCCACUCUUUCACCGUUUUGACAGCGCGUUGGAGAGCUGAGACCCGACG